GACGAGCGCUGGCGGCGUGCCUAAUACAUGCAAGUUGAGCGAUGAAGCUUGGUGCUUGCACCCAUUUGAAGAGCAGCGAACGGGUGAGUAACGCGUGGGGAAUCUGCCUUUGAGCGGGGGACAACAUUUGGAAACGAAUGCUAAUACCGCAUAAUAACUUUAAACAUAAGUUUUAAGUUUGAAAGAUGCAAUUGCAUCACUCAAAGAUGAUCCCGCGUUGUAUUAGCUAGUUGGUGAGGUAAAGGCUCACCAAGGCGAUGAUACAUAGCCGACCUGAGAGGGUGAUCGGCCACAGUGGGACUGAGACACGGCCCAAACUCCUACGGGAGGCAGCAGUAGGGAAUCUUCGGCAAUAGACGAAAGUCUGACCGAGCAACGCCGCGUGAGGGAAGAAGGUUUUCGGAUCGUAAAACUCUGUUGGUAGAGAAGAACGUUGGUGAGAGUGGAAAGCUCAUCAAGUGACGGUAACUACCCAGAAAGGGACGGCUAACUACGUG
rnacentral:rRNA from 1 species